rnacentral:rRNA from 1 species
GAAACGGAAGCUAAUACCGGAUAUGACGUACGGAGGCAUCUCCUGUGCGUGGAAAGAAUUUCGGUCAAGGAUGGACUCGCGGCCUAUCAGGUAGUUGGUGAGGUAACGGCUCACCAAGCCUACGACGGGUAGCCGGCCUGAGAGGGUGACCGGCCACACUGGGACUGAGACACGGCCCAGACUCCUACGGGAGGCAGCAGUGGGGAAUAUUGCACAAUGGGCGCAAGCCUGAUGCAGCAACGCCGCGUGAGGGACGACGGCCUUCGGGUUGUAAACCUCUUUUAGUAGGGAAGAAGCGAAAGUGACGGUACCUGCAGAAAAAGCACCGGCUAACUACGUGCCAGCAGCCGCGGUAAUACGUAGGGUGCAAGCGUUGUCCGGAAUUAUUGGGCGUAAAGAGCUCGUAGGCGGUUUGUCGCGUCUGCUGUGAAAACCCGAGGCUCAACCUCGGGCCUGCAGUGGGUACGGGCAGAC